rnacentral:rRNA from 1 species
AUUGAACGCUGGCGGUAGGCCUAACACAUGCAAGUCGAACGGCAGCACAGUAAUAGCUUGCUCUUACGGGUGGCGAGUGGCGGACGGUGGAUGAAUACAUCGGAAGCUACUUGUGCGUGGGGGCUAACGUAGGGAAACUUACGCUAAUACCGCAGACGACCUACGGGUGAAAGCAGGGGAUCUUCGGACCUUGCGCGAUUGAAUGAGCCGAUGUCGGAUUAGCUAGUUGGCGGGGUAAAGGCCCACCAAGGCGACGAUCCGUAGCUGGUCUGAGAGGAUGAUCAGCCACACUGGAACUGAGACACGGUCCAGACUCCUACGGGAGGCAGCAGUGGGGAAUAUUGGACAAUGGGCGCAAGCCUGAUCCAGCCAUACCGCGUGGGUGAAGAAGGCCUUCGGGUUGUAAAGCCCUUUUGUUGGGAAAGAAAAGCAGCAGGUUAAUACCCCGCUGUUCUGACGGUACCCAAAGAAUAAGCACCGGCUAACUUCGUG